GCCUUUCUCCAGAACUGGGACACCACUGCUUCCCUUCCCACCACAGCCUGCCCCAGCCUGCACCCCGGGUGGUGCUAUCUACAAGGUGCAGCUCUUAAACCAUUUCACUGGAUUGCUUGGUUUCCUUGGAUUGCAUUUCAACUUUCUCCUGGAUAUCUAUAAGCUUCAUUGCCAUUCAGAUUCUGAAUUCCAUGCUCAUCAUUUCAGAUUGGUUAAGAACAAUUGCUGUGGAGCUAGUGGGCUCAUUUGGAGGUGUUCCAGGUCGUUGGGCUCCUUCAGGCAGAGGUCCAGCAGGGAGACAGGCCCCACACUUACUGGACCAGCUCUGUGGAGGGAGGCACGCCUAGGUUCCACACCAGCCCAGGAACCUGUGCGACUCACCCCUCUCUGAGAGUUUUCUGAGAGUAUGGGCUCCUCUUCUGCUGAAGCACUGGGCCCAGUUCCGCACUCCGGAGCCACAGCCCUGGGACGUCCGGAUCUGCUCACAGCUCCCUCCCCUGGACCCUUGGGGUUGGGAUCUGUGUGCACUGGGGGAUUCAAACAGCUCCCACGCUGCCGGAAUGCACUCAAGUGGAGCAAAGCACCCAUGCUGAGCAGCUGAGGCUGCACUGUGUACACACUCCUGUGGGGUGGCCAGGCAGGAAUCCUGGGAGGGACUGGCAGGCAGGUGGGCCUGCGGGACAGAUGUGCCCUAAUCCCACGGGGAAGCACUUCUUCUCCCAUUCUGGUGGUUAUAUGGGGCCAGAGCCUCUCAGAGGGAGACAGAGAGCCCUGGGGGAUGAGUGCUCCCGCGGAGCUGUCUCACAGACAAAGCUUCCAGCUCCGUGCCUGCUGGAGCCCUUUCUCCAUCUAAUCUCUAGUGAGAGUCUCAUGUCAGCUCAAACGCGGAGGCCGGGGGUCCUCUGCAGCUAGGAUCCCAGAGGUCUACGGCAAGAGAAUAAAUUGUUAUUAAAGUAAUUCCUCUUUGCUCUGAAUUUGCAUUCAGCCGAACGUUCACGUGUGACCCAGCUUCACGAUCUGAGAUUUGUACACAAUGUGCAAUUUAUUUGAAAUAUUGGAAGUUGCUUUUCUGCUAUGUAUUGACUUGGCAUUUCUAGUCUUUCACUCCUGUUAUGAUCUUCAGUAUGGUGCAUCUUUUCCUGGACGUUAGGUGCUCCUUCCUCUCUCCCUUUCUCCCUUCUCACUCCAGGGCAACACAUAUUAUUAUAAAGUUUAUUCAGGUUGAGUCUACUGCUUUGGUGAGUUAAAGGACAUUUUAACUCAUAUGAAUGGCCCUAAAAGCCUUCACCUGAGCAUUCAACUUGUUUGAUAAGCAUACGCUAUGUCCCUCCCCUGGCCAGGUCAAGGCCACCACCGUGUGAGCCUCUUCUCUACCCAGGUUGCUCCCAUAUAUUUGGAUGGUUAGAUGGGAAGCUGGUCCAGAGGGCAGACGAAGAAAUGGAAAUUCGACCCCAGCUGACUAGUCCACAUGUGACCCAGUGGUAUUAUCUGGGAAUUUUCACACAUUAUGCACCUUAUUUAAAAUUCUGGCAAUUUUUUUUCUUCUAUAUAGUGACAAAGACAUUGCUUGGAUUCCCUUUGCUGCUUACAAAAAACAACAAACACCAAAAAAUCUAUAAAUACAGCAUUUAUAUUUUCUGACUGAAUCUCAAAAUUAGUUGGGGCAUUGGGAAAGAAUUUAAUUUG
rnacentral:lncRNA from 1 species